rnacentral:rRNA from 1 species
UACGGGGGGUGCAAGCGUUGUUCGGAAUUACUGGGCGUAAAGGGCUCGUAGGCGGCCAACUAAGUCGGAUGUGAAAUCCCCAGGCUUAACCUGGGAACUGCAUCCGAUACUGGAUGGCUUGAAUUCGGGAGAGGGAUGCAGAAUUCCAGGUGUAGCGGUGAAAUGCGUAGAUAUCUGGAGGAAUACCGGUGGCGAAGGCGGCAUCCUGGACCGAGAUUGACGCUGAUGAGCGAAAGCUAGGGGAGCAAACAGG